CUCGGCUCUAGUAGUAAACUUACAAGUGAGAAAGAUGCACGGAUAGCAAUGGUCCGGAAUCCCAAAGUGACAGUCGAGGAAUCGAGAUCCUGUAGGUACACAUUUCACGUGUGCCAAAUGCGCUAGAAGUUACAAACACCAUGCGUCACUAUAUAAUCAUGAAAGAUUCGAAUGCGGCAAAGAACCAGCCUAUAGUUGUCAUAUUUGUGAUUAUAAAGCUAAGCGAAAAUAUCAUUUGCAGCGACAUCUAUUAACUCAUUAAAAUCUGAUACUAUUUGUAUUUCUAAUUCCUUUGUUCUAAUAAUAGAUUUAAUAUAAAGUUAUAUGGAAUAA
rnacentral:lncRNA from 1 species